GACGAACGCUGGCGGCGUGCUUAACACAUGCAAGUCGAACGGAAAGGCCCUGCUUUUGUGGGGUGCUCGAGUGGCGAACGGGUGAGUAACACGUGAGUAACCUGCCCUUGACUUUGGGAUAACUUCAGGAAACUGGGGCUAAUACCGGAUAGGAGCUCCUGCUGCAUGGUGGGGGUUGAAAAGUUUCGGCGGUUGGGGAUGGACUCGCGGCUUAUCAGCUUGUUGGUGGGGUAGUGGCUUACCAAGGCUUUGACGGGUAGCCGGCCUGAGAGGGUGACCGGCCACAUUGGGACUGAGAUACGGCCCAGACUCCUACGGGAGGCAGCAGUGGGGAAUAUUGCACAAUGGGCGGAAGCCUGAGGCAGCAACGCCGCGUGCGGGAUGACGGCCUUCGGGUUGUAAACCGCUUUCGCCUGUGACGAAGCGUGAGUGACGGUAAUGGGUAAAGAAGCACCGGCUAACUACGUG
rnacentral:rRNA from 1 species